CCUGGACUCAGCCAGACUCAGAGAGAUGUUGGGACAACCAGCUGCAGAAAGGAGCUAUCCCCUCUGAAGUCUCCUCUCUGCUGGGAGCUCAGCAGACAUCAGGAUGACCAGCUGCGGAGAGAAGCUACCCAUUCCAGGGUCUUGUAGCUCCUCUCUGCUGAGAGCUGAACAUUAAAGUUGAACAUUAAUGGGACACCCUGGCAGCAGAGAGGAGCUACCCACUGUGAGUCUCCUCUGAGCUGCUCUAUUGCUCAGUAAAGCUCUUCAGCUUGCUCACCCUCCACUUGUCUGUGUACCUCAUUCUUCCCGGGCAUGGGACAAGAACUCAGGACCUCCUGAAUGGCAGGGCUGAAAGCGCUGUAACACAAACACGGCUGAAACACACCUCUUGCUCACCACGUUGUGGGUAAGAAGAAGGGGAGAAGAGCUGAGGCCCUUCGGGGACCCCAGACCUAGGAGCUCCCUGAGCCAGGGCUGUGACACCCUCUUUGGGGGUCUGGUUCCUGACAUAUCCAAGCCCCCAGGAACCAUUGCAUUCCCCAGUGGCAGCAGUGGAAGCUGCUUGCAGGAUGCCUGUUCCAGCUGCAGCCUCGUAAGAAGCCAGCACUCAUGCUGGCACCUGGAGCUGCCCACUCCACCACAGCCAUUGUUCCUGGCUGUGCACAGUGGCUGGACCCCACGCUUGCUUGCUCACACAUAUCCUCGCUGCUCCGCUCGCCCUUGGCAGGCAGGGGAUCCAGGCCAUUAGCACGAGCUGAGCAUAGCCUGCCAGGCCAAGUGGGCGCAAUGAGCCUGAGCAAAACUCUGGCAAAGGCACCACUGGCUACAGAGGUUUCUGGCUGGUGAAGUGACAGCCCAAGGAUCCCAUAAUGACAUGUUGGAUGUGCCUGGCAUUGCACAGACACACAGUAGGUGUUGGGAAGCACUGGUUCUUUCUUUCAGAGGGUCUGUCAUCCUCGUUUCCCGCAUGGCCGAACUUACCAAGGUCUUUGCAGCUUCUGCUUCCUUCUGUAGUACUCAUGGGUCCCACAUCUGUGCUUACAAAGUCCCUAGUGUAGUGAUGGGGAGAUGUUUCUGGAAGCAGUAGUGGGAAAGGGUGAGUGAAGGCAGCUCCCCCUGCCUGGGUAGUCCUAGAAUAGGAAGGGGGUGAACAGUCAAUACAUGCAGUGGAGAGGACUCUGACCUGGGAGGAAGGAAGACAAGCUACUUGCCCCAACCGUGCCACCAGCACAAUCAGUAAACCUUGCUCUGUUCUAAGCCUCAGUUUCUCCACUUCUUCAAGGAAGGGUCUUCCAGCUGAGCGCUUCCCUGUUUCUGUCCCUAUCUCCUUCUCUCUCCCAGAAAGUUUCUUGCCUUCUCUUGACUUACAGAAGACAUCACUUCCUUGAAGACUUGGCUCACUAUAAGCCUCCUGGCGGCUCCUUCCUGGGGCACUGGGCCAAACUCCUGACACGAUUAAGAAGAGGUUUUGGAACUGGGCCAGACUAGGAAAACAGGAAAGAUGACGAACAAAGCUUCCCUCCUUCUGAGGGUUGUUUAUUCCAGUGUUCCUUCAGUUGAGUUUUCUGGGUACACAGCAGCCCUUGGCUUUCCAUCCCAUGUGCAGCCUCUGGCCCAGCACUUAGUCCACUCUCAGUCAUAGAGCUUAUCACACAGACUUGCUCCAGUGCCCACUUGUCCAACUGCCCCAAACUCCUGGAAACCAGAAAGAACACAGAUGUAUCUCAACUGAGUGCCUACCAUAUUUCUACAGGAGGAACUGUCUUCGCAUAAAAGCCCCUCUGCAGCUCCUUAAGAUCCUACUGAUGCUUCAAUUGCCUCAUCUUUGGUCAACAAGAGCCUCUUCAAGACAUUGGCUUCUGAGCCCUUUUGACAUGACACUAUAGCUUUAUUGCUUUCUGGAAUGAAAAAGUCUUCUUGGUU
rnacentral:lncRNA from 1 species